rnacentral:lncRNA from 1 species
GCCCCGGCCUUCCUCUUGAGGAGGUGGGAGCCGGUCAGCUGGGAUCAGGAGGUGGGCUUCAUGGAGCAGAGACUCCAUAAGGGGGCAAAAUAAAUUAGAGAAUUCUCUUGCUGCAAGGAACCUAGACGAGGAGCACCCAGUCAGAGGAGGAAGGAAGAGACCAGCAACAGACCUCCCUUGCUCCAGCAGUCCUGCAAGCCAGAUGGGCCAACUUCUCGGCACAGCUGUUCUCCAGCACAGAGAAAUUUCUCACCUUCAGCAACAGGGCGGGAACAUUCCCAGACAGGGCCACGGCUACUCUGGUCACAGGGACCACGGAGUCUGAGUCUCCGUGGCUUGUCCCAUCCAUGCAACCACAGAUCUGGAGCACACGUCUGGAGUUGCAGAGCCCAAAGGGCAUGGCAGGGCAGGGAUUCUGCCUGAUUGGUGAAAGCCACCCCCGGAGUACAGGCCUGCGCCCAUAUCCAGGUGGAGCCUCCGAUAGGGAGCAUCGAUUUCAAGGAGGUGAAUGUGGACAUUCAAGGCCAGUGAAUGGCCAGGUGUCAACACAUCGACAGGCCCUUGGCCCCUCCCCCAACACUGGGGGGAGGACACCAACAGGGUCUACAUGGUGCAUAGGGUCUCCAGAGCCAGCAAGGUGUGCAAGGCCCAGCAACUGACCACUCUAUUAUGAAUAAGCCAGAACAUUUAUCCAGAAAAAAAAAACAGCUUUGUCCAAUUGGGGACCUAAAGUCUCAGGACCUAUGUCCCCUUCCUGUAGCACCACAUCACUUUCCCAAUGCCCACCCUCACUCCCACCUGCCUGCCAAGCUUCAGGUAUCCAGAACACAGCGUGACAGCAGGCACUGUGAUUCCCACAGGUUUUCCCAACCCACCCCAGGCGUCACUACAGCUUUAGUUCUGAGCAGCAGGGAGUGACAUGCAGAAUGGUCACCCAGACAGAGCAAGACCGUCAACAGGAGGGCGGGCUCUGUCCAGCAGGCGGUACCUAUUGACACAGAAAUCAGUAGGCAUUCUUUCAGGAAGGUUUUUCACUAAGAAAGAAUGAAAGAGGCCGGGCGCGGUGGCUCACACCUGUAAUCCCAGCACUUUGGGAGGCCAAGGCGGGUGGAUCACCUUAGGUCAGGAGUUCGAGACCAGCCUGGCCAAUGUGGUGAAACCCCGUCUCUACCGAAAAUACAAAAAUUAGCUGGCCGUGGUGGCGGGCACCUGUAAUCCCAGCUACUUGAGAGGCUGAGGCAGGAGAUCUUGAUUCCAGGAAGCAGAGUUUGCAAUGAGCCGGGAUCACACCACUGCAUUCCAGCUUGGGCAACAGAGCAAGACUCCAUCUCAAAAAAAAAAAAAAAAAAAAA